UACAUUUUGCAUUUUUCCACACAUCCUUGUCACAUCAAAGAAAUAGUUUUGGAUCCUUCAGAUGAGCAGAUAAAGGAAGUCCCCCAGCUCUGGGUUACAGAAGAAAGAACGAGGCCAUCAUGCCCAAGGCUUCUGGAGCUUUGAGUCUCAGUGGCAUUAAAUAAUCUAACUAGAAUCGGAGAAAAUGACAGGCUGGCCGUGAACUGUGUAGCCCAGGUCAAGCUCUAACUCUCAAUCCUCCUGCCUCAGCCUCCUAAGCAUUGGAAUUACAGAGAUGACAUUGCUGGAAAGAGUG